CAGUCGCCGCGGUAAUACGGAGGGAGCUAGCGUUGUUCGGAAUUACUGGGCGUAAAGCGCGCGUAGGCGGUUACUCAAGUCAGAGGUGAAAGCCCGGGGCUCAACCCCGGAACUGCCUUUGAAACUAGGUGACUAGAAUCUUGGAGAGGUCAGUGGAAUUCCGAGUGUAGAGGUGAAAUUCGUAGAUAUUCGGAAGAACACCAGUGGCGAAGGCGACUGACUGGACAAGUAUUGACGCUGAGGUGCGAAAGCGUGGGGAGCAAACAGGAUUAGAUACCCCCGUAGUUCCUGUCUCUUAUAC
rnacentral:rRNA from 1 species